rnacentral:antisense_RNA from 17 species
CGGCGCUUGAGGCUUUCUGCCUCAUGACGUGAAGGUGGUUUGUUAUCCUGUUGUGUGGCAGAAGGACAAAAGCCCCGUAGUUAAUUUUCAUUAACCCACGAGGCCUCUGCAUGUCUAGUCCACGUCAGUAUGCCCUCUUACCGUGCAAAUUGCAAGGAGGAGUAAACCAUG